rnacentral:lncRNA from 1 species
UUCAUUCUACUAAAUUGUUUGUGUUAUUUUGUUUAGGAUCUAAUUGGAGGCUUGUUUAGAGUCCAAUAAUAACAAUUUCUUCUUUUCCAAUGUACCUUAUUCUACUCAUUCUUGGACUCCUAUUGGUUGCCCCUCCCUUUCUUUGUUGUUGGGUUUUCUUUUCAUUUCUUUUCCUUUAAUUUUGUUUUUUUUAGAUCUUUGUUUGGUAGCUUCUUCAUCAUUAAAGAUGACCCAAAUCACUCCAAACAUGAGGUUAUUCAUUUUUUUUGGCUAACCGAAUCUUCUCUUUAAUUUUUGUUAUGAUUUCAUUCAGUUUUAGUCUUUAUUCUUCAAAUAUGUUCUACAUGUUUGCUUUCACUUAAUUAGCAACAAGAU